CCUACGGGAGACAGCAGUGGGGAAUAUUGCUCAAUGGGCGAAACCCUGAACCAGCAACGCCGCGUGGGGGAUGAAGGUUUUAGGAUUGUAAACUCCUUUUGUGAGGGAAGAUAAUGACGGUAUCUCUCGAAUAAGCACCGGCUAACUCCGUGCCAGCAGCCGCGGUAAUACGGAGGGUGCAAGCGUUACUCGGAAUCACUGGGCGUAAAGGGUGCGCAGGCGGGCUUGUAAGUCAGAUGUGAAAUCCUGUAGCUUAACUACAGAACUGCAUUUGAAACUAUGAGUCUAGAGUGUGGGAGAGGUAGGUGGAAUUCUUAGUGUAGCGGUAAAAUGCGUAGAUAUCAAGAGGAAUACUGAUUGCGAAGGCGACCUACUGGAACAUUACUGACGCUCAUGCACGAAAGCGUGGGGAGCAAACAGGAUUAGAUACCCGGGUAGUC
rnacentral:rRNA from 1 species